rnacentral:rRNA from 1 species
GAUGAACGCUGGCGGCGUGCCUAAUACAUGCAAGUCGAGCGAACAGACGAGGAGCUUGCUCCUCUGACGUUAGCGGCGGACGGGUGAGUAACACGUGGAUAACCUACCUAUAAGACUGGGAUAACUUCGGGAAACCGGAGCUAAUACCGGAUAAUAUAUUGAACCGCAUGGUUCAAUAGUGAAAGACGGUUUUGCUGUCACUUAUAGAUGGAUCCGCGCCGCAUUAGCUAGUUGGUAAGGUAACGGCUUACCAAGGCGACGAUGCGUAGCCGACCUGAGAGGGUGAUCGGCCACGCUGGAACUGAGACACGGUCCAGACUCCUACGGGAGGCAGCAGUAGGGAAUCUUCCGCAAAGGGCGAAAGCCUGACGGUGCAACGCCGCGUGAGUGAUGAAGGUCUUCGGAUCGUAAAACUCUGUUAUUAGGGAAGAACAAAUGUGUAAGUAACUAUGCACGUCUUGACGGUACCUAAUCAGAAAGCCACGGCUAACUACGUG